rfam:Triticum aestivum genome assembly, contig: Triticum_aestivum_CS42_TGACv1_scaffold_344104_4DL
UAUAUACUCCCUCGUCCCAAAAUUCUUGUCUUAUAUUUGUCUAGAUACGAAUGUAUCUAAUACUAAAACGUGACUUGAUGCACUCGCAUUUAGACAAAUUUAAGACAAGAAUUUUGGGACGGAGGGAGUAUGAU